rnacentral:misc_RNA from 1 species
AACGCACAUUGCACUCUCUGGUAUUCCGGAGAGUAUGCUUGUUUGAGUAUCAGUAAACACCUCAAAUCUCUUUUUUUAUUAAAAGAGAAUUUGGACUUGAGCAAUCCCAACAUCUUUUGCAAUAAAAGGUGGCGGGUUGCUUGAAAUGCAGGUGCAGCUGGACAUUCUCCUGAGCUAAAAGCAUAUUCAUUUAGUCCCGUCAAACGGAUUAUUACUUUUGCUGCAGCUAAUAUAAAGGGAGUUUGACCAUUUUGGCUGACUGAUGCAGGAAUUUCACAAGAGUCUUCAAACCACUCUUGUUAAACUCGAUCUCAAAUCAAGUAAGACUACCCGCUGAACUUAA